GAGGGGAUAGCUCAGUGGUAGAGCACGUGCUCCGAGGUUCUGGGUUCAAUCCCCAGUACCUCCA
rnacentral:tRNA from 1 species